rnacentral:rRNA from 1 species
GCGGGGGUUAGUGGCGAACGGGUGAGUAACACGUGAGUAACCUGCCCUUAACUCUGGGAUAAGCCUUGGAAACGGGGUCUAAUACUGGAUAUUGACUUUACCUCGCAUGGGGUUUUGUUGAAAGAUUUAUUGGUUUUGGAUGGACUCGCGGCCUAUCAGCUUGUUGGUGAGGUAAUGGCUCACCAAGGCGACGACGGGUAGCCGGCCUGAGAGGGUGACCGGCCACACUGGGACUGAGACACGGCCCAGACUCCUACGGGAGGCAGCAGUGGGGAAUAUUGCACAAUGGGCGAAAGCCUGAUGCAGCGACGCCGCGUGAGGGAUGACGGCCUUCGGGUUGUAAACCUCUUUCAGUAGGGAACAAGGCCAGCAUUUUUGUUGGUUGAGGGUACUUGCAGAAGAAGCGCCGGCUAACUACGUGCCAGCAGCCGCGGUAAUACGUAGGGCGCAAGCGUUAUCCGGAAUUAUUGGGCGUAAAGAGCUCGUAGGCGGUUUGUCGCGUCUGCCGUGAAAGUCCGGGGCUCAACUCCGGAUCUGCGGUGGGUACGGGCAGACUAGAGUGAUGUAGGGGAGACUGGAAUUCCUGGUGUAGCGGUGAAAUGCGCAGAUAUCAGGAGGAACACCGAUGGCGAAGGCAGGUCUCUGGGCAUUAACUGACGCUGAGGAGCGAAAGCAUGGGGAGCGAACAGGAUUAGAUACCCUGGUAGUCCAUGCCGUAAACGUUGGGCACUAG